CUUAAUAGGCGGCGGGAUUGUGAAAAAUUGUGUGGGGGGUUGUUUGGCUCCAAUUAUACUGUGAAAAGAAAAUAAGGGUUUCAUGAGAUUGAGCCCCAAACUUUUGAGAAGACCCAAAGUUCAAAAUCAGUCAUCUCUAUCAAAUUCAAUCCCCUUCUUAACCAUCUUGAGCGGCCAUCCGACGCCAAUAAAUUCUCCUCCAGAGAUCCCAUCUCGGCAGCGAAGCCUUCACCAUCUAUAACAUCCAUUCGCGAAUGUGAUGCUCUCUCCAUCCAAAGCACUAGUACCUGGUGCUGAAACAAUCACUGUCCUAUGAAAAUUCCCUCACGAAUCUCACUAUUUAAUGCUUAUAUCUCAGUCUAGCAAAGAAGCCAUCUGGAAACUUCACCAACAUCUAUAGACAUAUUACUAAAGGUGCAUGGACAUGCUCAAUGCAAGACCAUUUCCUAGUCUCUUGCUGCACGGAGAAGUACUAAAGGAAAGUAUUAUUAAUUUAUUAUUUAAAUUGAAAUUCUUAUAUAUGUAUAUGUGUGUGUCUAUAAGGUUUUGAUUGACUUAAUAAUAAUAAUAAUAAUAAUAAUAAUGUUUUCAAUUUGUAUGGUGUAAUAUUAUAUUUACAAAUGCCACAUACAUUAAGAGAAAGAACAAACAACCACCAAUUUUAUGAUGCAUAUAUAAAUAUAUAAAAUAAUUAAUUAAUUAUAUCUAUAUACAGAGCAAGAAUGACAGACUCAAAGAAUUUUCCGUUGGAAAUGGGAGGUACUUAUAUAAGUUUUAAACGCUCUCCAUAUAUGAUUUAAUUUUAUAAUUACACAUAUAUGAGCAGUGCUAUGAGUAUAGUACUAGUUUCCAAUUACUUGAUUCUGUUGCUCAAGAGAGUAAUUUCAUUCUAGUUAUAAAGACACAAAUUCAAGAUUAAGAGCAAAACAAGUUAGUUUCAUUUGCUCAACCACAACAACCAUACAACAAUUUUAAGAGCCUUGAAUUCUUAAGUGUCUCACUCUAGAUACUUAAUAUAUUUAUUACCCUAUCUACAACUAAACUUGUCUGUCUGAUUCUUUUUCUUCUUUGCUUACUUCAACUCUUUUGAAUCUUUGUCAUGACCUCUCGUCUUAGCAUCUUAUGUGGCUGCAAUAUCCUCUUCUUGCUUGGCCAAGAAUAAUGUAUUAAUGGGCUAACUAUAUUUCAUUUUUGAUCUUUCUGAAAAUAAACUUAUUAAUGUGUUAAGUAUUAUUAUUAAAUGUGGCUUGAUAAGGCUAUUAGUUUCUUUUCUUCCUUAAUUACCGAUUUAUGAUGCUUGUGGUUUUUUUCAGGUACCCAUAUUUUUUUAUUUAAUUUAGAUUUUGAUGCAGGGUAAAACAUGGUCUGAAGGAACUUCUUAUUUCUGGAAGCGUUGCUACUGGUACGAUGGGGAUAUAGCCAUAUUGAUUAUGCUCAAAUUUAAGGGAUGAUCAAACUUUUCUUCUGUGGAUUGCUUAAUUAUGUCCACUAUAUCUUUUAAGAGUAAAGGAAGUCUCAAUUUAAAAGUUACAAAACUGAAGCUUGAGCUUCGAGCAACAAAGAAUGUAAGGCGUAGUUAUAUAUGAAUUGUUAUGAUUGUUCCUUAUUUAUUUUGAUGUUUGUUUGUAGUUUUGGAUAAUUUUUUGUGUAAAUAUGAGUAUGGUUUGUAUAUAUGAGUUUGAUUUUGGACAAUUAAUAAAGAUGUAUUUUAGAGUUA